GAUGAACGCUAGCGGAGGCCUAAUACAUGCAAGUCGAGCGGUAACUUUCUUCGGGAAGCUAGAGCGGCGCACGGGUGAGUAACGCGUACAUGACCUGCCUUUAAGACCGGGAUAGCCCUGGGAAACUGGGAUUAAUACCGGAUGUGAUAAUAGAUAUAAAGAUUUAUUAUUAAAGUUACGGCGCUUAGAGAUGGAUGUGCGUCUGAUUAGCUAGUUGGUAGGGUAACGGCCUACCAAGGCUACGAUCAGUAGGGGCGUGAGAGCGUGGCCCCCCACACGGGUACUGAGACACGGACCCGACUCCUACGGGAGGCAGCAGUAAGGAAUAUUGGUCAAUGGACGAAAGUCUGAACCAGCCAUCCCGCGUGCAGGAUGAAGGUCCUAUGGAUUGUAAACUGCUUUUAGCAGAGAAGAAAAGCAAUCCUUUUUAAGGGUGUCUGACGGUAUCUGCGGAAUAAGCACCGGCUAACUCCGUGCCAGCAGCCGCGGUAAU
rnacentral:rRNA from 1 species